AGAGAGAGAGAGAGAGAGAGAGAGAGAGAGAGAGAGAGAGAGAGGAGAGCAAGUUGUGACAACAUUGGGAGUGAAAAGGGAAAAAAAUACAAAAUAAAUGCAAGAUAUGUAGAAACUUAUGGCAUAACAAGAAAACUUGCAAAAAUCCACCAUUACCUAGAGCUUCACCAAGUAAAGAGGGUAGACUAAAGAAAAGUUCUGCAACUCCAAAUGCUGAACCAGAAUCAAGUGCAAGGACAUCCAGAGGUGCAAAAAGGGGAAGAAAACCGGGGACCACAAAUAUGAGCCCUCCAUGCUCUAAUGCCGGACAAACUGCCAAUACCCUUCAUAUGAGUGGUUAGGGACAAACAACACAACAAACAUCAACCUCUAA